UCACUCUUGACAUUUCCUCUUCCUCUUCCCAAUUCCCAUCAAAUAAAAAUCACCAUCGCCCCUUCCACUCUCCACUCGCAUAUCAUCGACGAUGCGGCAGCCGGCACCAGCAGCACCCCUUCUAUCAAAACUCCGAGCGGAGGGCGCAGGCGCUGGAGGUGACCAUCGACACCGCCCCCUGCGCCGAUCCGGCCGCGGCCUCCAUCCCGCUGUACUCGAACCGUCGAACGGUCCCGAGUUUGUCGGCGGGCUCAGGCUAGGCUCGGGUCUCACGAGGACGGGGUGCGGACGGGAAGGGACCGCCGCAGACGUGCAUGACGAUGACGAACAACGGCGACGGCCAGCCGCCGGCGUGGGCGGUGAGCUCUUCCGUCCUCUUGGUAGCGAAGGUCACUGUCUUGGAUGUGCAUCCUGCAUCCAUCUGGUCGCUAUCCUUCACUUCUUCCCCAUCCUAUGUCACCUUGCCAGAGCCGCCCCUGACGUUGCCUCUCCCACCCGCUGGCUACGACGUGCAAGUCCCAUGAUCGCUUCUCCUCCCUAGCAGUUAAUAAUCUGGAGUUGCUGGGAAGGCAAUGCAAAUUGGAUGGAAUCAUUUGUUGCAGAUAUAUGUAUUUAAGUAUCAACCUGAUAAGCUUCUGGAGGCUGGAGCUGGUUAAGGUGCCACCCUUCGUCCUCCUCCAUAGUGUGCGGCAUAGCCAUGGCAGGUAGUGCUCCACACCCUCCUGCUGCUCUCAGGAUGAAGGAUACUUGCGAGCAUAUCACCAAAAAAAAAGCAUAAAUGAAUGUUUCCAUUAUGAAUUUCUCUGAUGUAAAAUGGAAAAGCAACUAUCUGUUUUCUUACUUAGUCCAUCACUAUCUGUUCUAUUAACUUAUGUAUAAGAAGACGUAUACAAUCAGCUUACUUACAUGCAGACGCAUUGCAUUCUUCCA